GACAGUCAGACCUGGACACCCCACAAACCUGGCUUCAUUGGAACUGGUAUCAUCAGAACCCUGUCCUGAGCCCUUGGUGAACAUUCUCAAGAACCUCAGAGGACUUGAAAAGUCCAAGAAAGGAAAUGACCAGAGGUGAGGAACAGGAGAGGAGGAAGGAGGAAGAGAAGAAAGAGAGUGAAAGGAAAAGUUGAACCUGAGCAAUGAAACAUUUUUCAAAUACAGACAUUUUCUACUUUGUUAUAAUAUUCCAACUUGGAAACCCAUGGAAUAUCUUUCGGCUGAUUUAGAAGCUUCACCUAAUAAACCGGAAUUAGAGACGGCA